CACGUAGUUAGCCGUGACUUUCUGGUUGAUACCGUCAUACCGUGAGCAGUUGCUCUCACGGCUGUUCUUCUCUAACAACAGAGUUUUACGAGCCGAAACCCUUCUUCACUCACGCGGCGUUGCUCCAUCAGACUUUCGUCCAUUGUGGAAGAUUCCCUACUGCUGCCUCCCGUAGGAGUAUGGGCCGUGUCUCAGUCCCAUUGUGGCAGAUUACCCUCUCAGGUCUGCUACGUAUCAUUGCCUUGGUGAGCUAUUAUCUCACCAACUAGCUAAUACGCCGCGGGUCCAUCCAGAAGCACUAGCACAAAGGCCAGCUUUCAAACAAGAACCAUGUGGUUCUUGUUGUUAUACGGUAUUAGCAUCUGUUUCCAGGUGUUAUCCCCUUCUUCUGGGCAGGUUACCCACGUGUUACUCACCAGUUCGCCACUCAGUCGGAUCCAAAAUCAUCUUAGUGCAAGCACUAAGAAUCAAUUGGGCGACUUCGUUCGA
rnacentral:rRNA from 1 species